GCCUGGUUGGCCGAAUGGUUAAGGCGCUGCGGGGCGGGGCAACACGGAGAGGAACCCAUCAGCGUGUGCCCUCAUUGCCGUGUUGGUUCGUACUCGAGAGAUCCUGGUCCGAAUCCAGGACCGGGCA
rnacentral:tRNA from 1 species